AUGUCGUUCUUAAUAUGCGAUGUCGCCCCCUAUUGUGUGUAUGAAUGUAACACGUCAAACAAAACUAUUCCAAUUUUGUCGCGUAAUGUUGCAGAAAGUGAACUCAUCUGAUAGUCUUACGAAUUGUAAAGUAUACAGGUACCAUGAAUAUAUCCUUAAAAGUGCACAACUGUGGGCUUUAACGUAUUUAGUGAAACCGGCUGACUGGAAACGUUUGAGGCUCCAUAUUUCAAAAUCCAGAUGGCGCUGUUCGUCAGAUGGGACUCCAGUGUAGUGAUGAAGUAAAAGCUCACAGUGAACAGAGGACUGGAAGAUCUGACGGGUCAAGGAGAAAGUCACUGUUGUACAGGAGUUUAGCAGAAUCAGGAUGAUCAUUUUCUGACAAGAGCUCUUCAACACAAGAACGUCUCCACAGUUAAGCUUCAACAGCAACAGGAAACCGGAGGACACAUGGGCAACAGACUAGUCUUCAACCACUGAACUGAACUUGAACCCAAUUUAUACAUCCAGCGUAGUCAACAACACUGCAUCGUGGAGUCAGACACGUUCACCUAUUCAUACGCCACUGUGUUUGUACCGAGUGUGGCGCUCAACGGCCUCCUGCGGUACUUUAAUGGUCUGAUAGAUCAUGCUUAUUUAUUACUUAUCAUUUAAAUCGACACUUUUUAAAAUAAAA